ACAGCAGUCGCCGCGGUAAUACGAAGGGUGCAAGCGUUAAUCGGAAUUACUGGGCGUAAAGGGCUCGCAGGCGGUUUUUUAAGUCUGAUGUGAAAGCCCCCGGCUCAACCGGGGAGGGUCAUUGGAAACUGGGAAACUUGAGUGCAGAAGAGGAGAGUGGAAUCCCACGUGUAGCGGUGAAAUGCGUAGAGAUGUGGAGGAACACCAGUGGCGAAGGCGACUCUCUGGUCUGUAACUGACGCUGAGGAGCGAAAGCGUGGGGAGCGAACAGGAUUAGAUACCCCUGUAGUCCCUGUCUCUUAUAC
rnacentral:rRNA from 1 species